rnacentral:rRNA from 1 species
GCAUAUCAAUAAGCGGAGGAAAAGAAACCAACAGGGAUUGCCUUAGUAACGGCGAGUGAACAGGCAAGAGCUCAGAUUUGAAAGCCUUUCGGGGCAUUGUAUUCUGAAGCCUUGAUUCUGAGAACCGGUACCUAAGUCUUCUGGAAAGGAGCGCCAAGGAGGGUGAUAGCCCCGUACGGUACUGACCUCAUUGUAGAAUCUUGGCGUGGAGUCGAGUUGUUUGGGAAUGCAGCUCAAAUGGGUGGUAUGCUCCAUCUAAAGCUAAAUAUCUGCGAGAGACCGAUAGCGAACAAGUACUGUGAAGGAAAGAUGAAAAGAACUUUGAAAAGAGAGUGAAAAAGUACGUGAAAUUGUUGAAAUGGAAGGAUAGGCCGCUAACCACGUAGAGCCGUGUCUGAGGGGAGGAUAAAAGCUGUAGAAUGUGGCUCUUCGGAGUGUUAUAGCUGCAGUGCAUACUCCCACUCGGGCGCGAGGACCUAAGG